UACGUAGGGUGCGAGCGUUAUUCGGAUUUAUUGGGCGUAAAGGGUUCGUAGGGGGUUGUGUAAGUCUGAAGUGAAAUCCUGUGGCUCAACCACAGAACUGCUUUGGAUACUGCACGACUAGAGUACUGGAGAGGCAAGCAGAAUUCCUGGUGUAGCGGUGGAAUGCGUAGAUAUCAGGAGGAAUACCGAUAGCGAAGGCAGCUUGCUGGACCGCUAUCGACGCUGAGGAGCGAAAGCUAGGGGAGCAAACAGG
rnacentral:rRNA from 1 species